rnacentral:rRNA from 1 species
AUUGAACGCUGGCGGCAGGCCUAACACAUGCAAGUCGAGCGGAUGAAGGGAGCUUGCUCCUGGAUUCAGCGGCGGACGGGUGAGUAAUGCCUAGGAAUCUGCCUGGCAGUGGGGGAUAACGUCCAGAAACGGGCGCUAAUACCGCAUACGUCCUGAGGGAGAAAGUGGGGGAUCUUCGGACCUCACGCUAUCAGAUGAGCCUAGGUCGGAUUAGCUAGUUGGUGGGGUAAAGGCCUACCAAGGCGACGAUCCGUAACUGGUCUGAGAGGAUGAUCAGUCACACUGGAACUGAGACACGGUCCAGACUCCUACGGGAGGCAGCAGUGGGGAAUAUUGGACAAUGGGCGAAAGCCUGAUCCAGCCAUGCCGCGUGUGUGAAGAAGGUCUUCGGAUUGUAAAGCACUUUAAGUUGGGAGGAAGGGCAGUAAGUUAAUACCUUGCUGUUUUGACGUUACCAACAGAAUAAGCACCGGCUAACUUCGUG